CGCUCUACCCUCCCACCCAGCAUCUCGAAGGCAGAACACUACCGGGGCGCUCUAGGCUUAGCUAACUCUGUGGUGAAGCCUUUCCCGUUGGAAAUUAAAGAGGCAACUCGAGUGACUAGAGAGGGGGAAAUGACUCCCUUCUUCUCUCCUCCUUCGCAGCAAGUCAUGAGGGACACGGUGAACUCCCAGUGCGAUUCCUUCCUUUACUGGAGGAUUCCGGAACUGGGCCUUUCCCGGUUGGAAUGUCAGCUUGACCGAUGCGGUCAAGAUUCUAGUCCUCAAGAAGAUGCUGAGGAUGUCCAGCUGGAUUAUGGCCGCUGGUGGCAGCCAGGCCAAAGGAAGGAGCCUUGAGGUUUCACCUUAGCAAGAACACCCGCUUCCUCGGUUUGUUGUGCUAGUUUAAAAGAAGCAGAAAAAAGCCUGGUCUCGAGUCUUGGCAGUGAAUGCUGUGGCCGCCACAGCAUGUCUGACCGGAGAAUGAGAAAAAUUCAGUAUGGAGCAGCCUCUUAGGUUGAGUGAGGCCAUGAAGCAGCCCUUCCUCCCAAUGUGCGUGGUGCAGAUUGAAAACCAGAAGCUUGUGAGUCGGGUUGCGAACCUGCCAGGAUCUUCUCCCUGGAGUCUCGGGAAUCCACAUCAACCUCCAGGAAACAGUUUCCCUCUGUUGGGAAGAAAAGCUGUGUACAGAAGUUGGUCCGAUGAUGCCUCCCAGCUGUGAUUUCCAAGAAAUGACCCUCUCAAGCCGGUCUUGUGCCCUAAUCGUAUGAAUGAGAGAAGCCACUGAACAGUGUCUGGAUUUGUCACUACAGGGAAUUGCUAACCCCUGCUAACUUGGCCAAGAGGCACCUUUUAAUGUUUUGAUUCUCUCUAUUUAGCAGGGGGAGAGUAACUGGCUGUAUCCACCCCCAGCACAGCAUCCCUCCAGUGACUCUUGCUGGUGUCUAUCUUAUGUUUCUUUUUCGAUUAUGUAAAUAAGAUUGUGAGCCCUUUGGCAGGGGCGUAUCUAGGGUAGGGCAGGCAGGGCACGUGCCCCGGGUGCCACUUGAAGGGGGGCACCAUUUUUUAAAAUGAAAAAAAAUUUUUUUUUCAUGGCCACCGAAAACAAAAUGGCCACCACACAUGCUCAAAUGGCCUCUGCAAGGCCCUAGUAUCUGGGGAAAGUAAAUUCUCCAUUUAUUUUUAAAACUUAUGUAAUAGUGAUGCUACAAUGCAUAGUAGAGAAUUAGACAGGCACUUCUGUUUAGUUUUCCAAGUACACCUCCACAUAGAAUUUGGGUAUUUCAUGAGCCCCAGCAUGCUGAAAUUAGUAGUUUUCGAGCAUUUCUUGGUCUUGCUACGUCCACUGCUAAAUAGUUUUUGAAAUAUUAAAAGAUUAACGAGCUUGACUUGUAUUUUUGAGCUGAUAUUAUGGUAAAGUUAUCUGAAAAAUGGGUGUCAGAUGUUUGGACAGGGGGUGCAAUUUCAGUGCUUGCCCUAGGCGCUGUUUUCCCUAGAUACGCCUCUGCCCUUUGGGGACAGGAUUCCAUCUUAUUUGUUUGUUAUUUCUCUGUGUAAACCUCCCUGAGCCAUUUUUUGAAGGGCUGUAUAGAAAUCAAAUGAAUGAAUGAAUGAAUGGUCUAGCAAUAAUGACCAGAUGAGCCUAGGCCCUCAGCCUCGCUCUGGGCUUUCUCAUAUAACAUAGUAUAGCAAAACUGUGUUAACACCAGUGCAGCAAGAGAGAGAACAUCCUCCUGUUGUUGGAGCCUUUGCCUCCUUCAGAGGGAGCGAGCCGGCCACCCCCUGGCAAAUUGUUCGACUUGGGUUAACCAGCAAGUUUAAUGGACUUCAUUUAGGACACAGCCGAGACCAGGCUUUUCUCUGCUGCUUUUAAACUAGCACAACAAACCGAGGAAGAGGGUGUUCUUGCUCAUUCCGGCCGCGUUAAGUCUUCACUGUGCUUAUUCUGUAUGCGUUGGAGCGUUGCGUGGAGUCCCUGCUGCCUCUUGUGGUUUGGGGGAUCCAGUGACUACAGUCCCCCCCCCAAAAAAAAUCCAUUCUAUUGUUAGGGCUCUCGCCCUGCGCCCCAACGGCUACGAAUCAGGUCUGAUCUGACACCAUACUCCAUUUCCCCUUAGAGCCGGCCAGGAAUGGUCAUCAUCCCCCCCCGCCCCCUUUUCCAGGUUUCCAAAGUCAUUCUUCAGACUCUUCACACACCUCACUGGUGUGUGCAACAACCACAAUAAUUGGUGUGUGCAAUAACCACAAUAAUUGCUCUUAACAUGCACCUUUUUUUUUUUUUUGCAGUUUAAUCUUGAAUACAUCUGAGUGCUGUCCUUUGAACCUUGCUGGGAAUCAUCUUGUUAAACUCCCUCCCCACAGAAAACCCGCCUGAUACUUGUGCUGUUAUCCUUUUCCGUUCUAGCAGCUGGCUUUAAUCGCUCUGACCUUUUUGCCCCUGAAAACUCUACCUUUUCUUAACUGUAAGCCGCUUUAGAUUCCCCCCCCCUUUAAAUUGAGAAGUGGUAUACACAUUUAGGCUAAUGUCGCCUACACUGACUGGCAGCAGCUUUAAUAUCGCACACACUGACCGGCAGCAGCUCUCCAGGGUUUCCGACAAGGGUCUUUCCCAGUCCCAUCUGGAGCAGCUUCGAGGGCCUGGGGCUGCCUAGCAAAUCACCGAAAUGUCUUUUGUCCUGGACCUCCCUCUGGCCAUCCUAUUUGAUCUGUAUGUGGGGGGCGGCUUUCCUCUUCUCUUUCCCCCGGACAGCAGAAGAGCAUCCGAGAGAAGAGAGCAGGGGUGGGGGGGAUGCAUUGAAUAAGUGUUGAGUGAAUGCCCACCCGUCAUAUACUGCUUCUGAACCAUCCAGAACUGAUAGAGAAACGGGCCUUUUUCUCCUAGAAGAGGCUACAGGCAAAGGGAUAGGGAAAUAAAGACAGGAACAGAAUGGGCCAAAAUACUGGCAGGCCAGAUUUUGCCUGGGAGCCGCUUGUUGCUAACUAUUCCUGUGGCUGUUCCUUGCAAUCAAUGCAAUUCAUUCCACACAUAUGCCUGGUGACCAGGGGUGUAUCUAGGGUGGGGCAGGCAGGGCACGUGCCCCGGGCACCACUUGAAGGGGGCACCAUUUCUUAAAAUUAAUUUUUUUUAAAAGCCUGCCAAAAACAAAAUGGCCACCGCGCAUGCUCAAAUGGCCUCUGUGAGGCCCUAGGCCAUACCAGGCCUCACAGAGGCCACUUGAGCAUGCAUGGUGGCCAUUUUGUUUUCAGCUGCCAUUUUUUUAAAAAAAAAAAAUUUUAAAAAUGGCCACUGCACAUGCUCAAAUGGUCCCUGUGAGGCCCUAGAGGCCAGGAGGGGGGACCUUUGCAGACUCCCAGCCACGGCCUUUAGGAAGCCCCCCGAAGGGGCUACAGGUAAUUUUUUUUU